ACGUAAGUUCCUCCGCCCAAUGCAGAGAAGGAGACCCCAUAUUGGAGGAGAUUCACGUAAUAUGUCCAACCACACAGCUGACUAUAUGCAUCUAAGAUAGUUUUGAAGGUCGUAACAUUGUUUGAAGGUCGUAACAUCUAAGAUAAUUAUAGCAUAUCUGUAGCAUAUCUUGCAUGUGAAAUUGGUGGAUAAAUUGAAGUAAUUGUUCUUGCAAUUAUAUUAAGCAAUGGCAGGAAGUGUCCCAAAUUGAAGUAAUUAUUCUUGCAGUUAUAUUAAGCAAGGUAGUGCAGUGGCGUUUGCAUUGGAACUCCAUCAACCUACUUUAGGCCACAACAACAUCAGGCAAAAGCACCAAUUGAUGACUUGUUGAAGCGCGCUGCUGAAUUAAAGAUAGAAGACAACGUGGAGAUAUCACUUAAGUUAACUAUCGGAAAGGGAAAAGGGAAAGCAUACGGAGGACGAUGGGAAGGGAAAGCAUAUGGAGUAGCAUUUGAACUUAUGUCUAUGUAGUCCUUAUGUUUGUGUUUGUCAAUGAGUCGCAUUCGAUCUUAUGGUUAUGUAGUACAGAGUAGCAUUCGAACUUCUGUUUAUGUAGUACUUAUGUUUGGGAAGAACUCAUUAUUUGUCAACUUUUUACUUUGGUUUACUGUCCAGGAAGAUUUAUAAAUGAAUUCUAAUGAGUUUAUGUUGAUGUAACUUAUGUUUAUGUGACUUGUUUGUGAAGUGGAAAAAGGUCUAGACAUGGCAUUUUUCCUUCAAUCCCAG
rnacentral:lncRNA from 1 species